rnacentral:rRNA from 1 species
GACGAACGCUGGCGGCGUGCUUAACACAUGCAAGUCGAGCGGAAAGGCCCUUCGGGGUACUCGAGCGGCGAACGGGUGAGUAACACGUGAGUAACCUGCCCUAGGCUUUGGGAUAACCCCGGGAAACCGGGGCUAAUACCGGAUAUGACCUGGUGCCGCAUGGUGUUGGGGGGCAAGUUUUUUCGGCCUGGGAUGGGCUCGCGGCCUAUCAGCUUGUUGGUGGGGUGAUGGCCUACCAAGGCGAUGACGGGUAGCCGGCCUGGGAGGGCGACCGGCCACAGUGGGACUGGGACACGGCCCAGACGCCUACGGGAGGCAAGAGUGGGGAAUAUUGCACAAUGGGCGGAAGCCUGAUGCAGCGACGCCGUGUGAGGGAUGAAGGCCUUCGGGUUGUAAACCUCUUUCAGCAGGGACGAAGCGUGAGUGACGGUACCUGCAGAAGAAGCGCCGGCCAACUACGU